rnacentral:sRNA from 1 species
GCCGGGUGUAGAGGUGCACACCUGUAAUCCCUGCGGCUCUAGGAAGCUGAGGCAGGAGGAUCACAAGUUCAAGGCUAGCCUGGGUGACUUAGUGAGAUCCUGUUUCAA